rnacentral:rRNA from 1 species
ACGCUGGCGGCAGGCCUAACACAUGCAAGUCGAGCGGUAGAGAGAAGCUUGCUUCUCUUGAGAGCGGCGGACGGGUGAGUAAUGCCUAGGAAUCUGCCUGGUAGUGGGGGAUAACGUUCGGAAACGGACGCUAAUACCGCAUACGUCCUACGGGAGAAAGCAGGGGACCUUCGGGCCUUGCGCUAUCAGAUGAGCCUAGGUCGGAUUGGCUAGUUGGUGAGGUAAUGGCUCACCAAGGCGACGAUCCGUAACUGGUCUGAGAGGAUGAUCAGUCACACUGGAACUGAGACACGGUCCAGACUCCUACGGGAGGCAGCAGUGGGGAAUAUUGGACAAUGGGCGAAAGCCUGAUCCAGCCAUGCCGCGUGUGUGAAGAAGGUCUUCGGAUUGUAAAGCACUUUAAGUUGGGAGGAAGGGUUGUAGAUUAAUACUCUGCAAUUUUGACGUUACCGACAGAAUAAGCACCGGCUAACUCUGUGCCAGCAGCCGCGGUAAUACAGAGGGUGCAAGCGUUAAUCGGAAUUACUGGGCGUAAAGCGCGCGUAGGUGGUUUGUUAAGUUGGAUGUGAAAUCCCCGGGCUCAACCUGGGAACUGCAUUCAAAACUGACUGACUAGAGUAUGGUAGAGGGUGGUGGAAUUUCCUGUGUAGCGGUGAAAUGCGUAGAUAUAGGAAGGAACACCAGUGGCGAAGGCGACCACCUGGACUAAUACUGACACUGAGGUGCGAAAGCGUGGGGAGCAAAC